UCGGGAAUUUUGGGCAAUGGGCGCAAGCCUGAUCUAGCCAUGCCGCGUGAGUGAAGAAGGCCUUCGGGUUGUAAAGCUCUUUUACCAGGGACGAUAAUGACGGUACCUGGAGAAUAAGCCCCGGCAAACUUCGUGCCAGCAGCCGCGGUAAUACGAAGGGGGCUAGCGUUGUUCGGAAUUACUGGGCGUAAAGCGCACGUAGGCGGAUUGUUAAGUCAGAGGUGAAAUCCCGGAGCUCAACUUCGGAACUGCCUUUGAUACUGGCAAUCUAGAGUCCGGAAGAGGUUAGUGGAAUUCCCAGUGUAGAGGUGAAAUUCGUAGAUAUUGGGAAGAACACCAGUGGCGAAGGCGGCUAACUGGUCCGGUACUGACGCUGAGGUGCGAAAGCGUGGGGAGCAAACAGGAUUAGAUACCCCCGUAGUCCCUGAGCGGGCUGGCAAGGCG
rnacentral:rRNA from 1 species